UGAAUAAUACCUUAUUAAUAGACAUUUUGGGUGUUUUCAGUUUUUGAAUUUAUGAACAAUCGUGGAAUGAACACUUUGCUUGUAUAUCAUUUUGUAGUUCUGUGAAAUGUAUCUUGCACAUUUUAAAGAUUUUUUUCUAGGGGACACAUGUUUCUCCAGGAAGAUGGCACUGAUUUGCAGCACCACUGGCUGUUCCACGAGUGGCAUGCCCUCCAUGUUCUCACUAAACACAGGAUUAUGCUUAAAAUAAAAAUCUGUGCCAAUAUGGUGGAUGAAAAAUGGCAUCUCAGCAUUUUAGCCUCAAUUUUGAGUACUAACAAGGCUGAACAUGAAACUAGCUUAUUUUCUUUUCAGAAGCCCCUGAAUGUGACAGUGAUCCGUAGAGGGGAGAAAUACCAGCUUAGACUGGUUCCAACACGCUGGGCGGGGAAAGGACUGCUGGGCUGCAACAUUAUUCCUCUGCAAAGAUGAUUGUCCCUGCAGAACAAGAACAGGAAAGCAUCUUCCCGUGCCCUGGACUUGGAUCUACUGGGGAUUUCCUCAUUCUUUUCUCUGCCUUAAGCAUAAGGAUCUGGAAGAGGCUGGAAGCCUGAACUUCUAGAUGGUGGAAAUCCUAUGGCCUCCCAAUGUAAUCUCUCUGGUUUAAGGCAUUGUUAAAAACUCAAUUUGUGCUUAGUGUCAUUUGCAAAUAAGGCCAUUGCCCUAAAUGGGAAUUCUUUGGAUUAUGGGCAAGGGGGCAGGAGUUAUUCUGGCUAGUGCUCAUAUGACUUUAUUCUUUUAGGAAUUUUUUUUCAAAUAAAAAUAGUUUUACAGUGCUGACAUAA